GCCGACGUAGCUCAGACGGUAGAGCGCGUCCUUGGUAAGGACGAGGUCACCGGUUCAAUUCCGGUCGUCGGCC
rnacentral:tRNA from 1 species